rnacentral:misc_RNA from 1 species
GACUUCAUGAAGUUGGAAUCGCUAGUAAUCGCGAAUCAGCAUGUCGCGGUGAAUACGUUCUCGGGGUUUGUACACACCGCCCGUCAAACCACGAAAGUUGACAAUACCCAAAAACGGUAGCCUAACUACGCAAGUAGAGGGAUCCGUCUAAGGUAGGGUUGAUGAUUGGGGUUAAGUCGUAACAAGGUAUCCCUACCGGAAGGUGGGGAUGGAUCACCUCCUUUCUAAGGAAGUUAAAAUCAUCAUCUUCAGUUUUGAAAGACUUAGAGAAUGAUAAAUUUUUUUGUAAGUUUUUCUUUUUUUAAGAAGAAGGGCCUAUAGCUCAGUUGGUUAGAGCACACGCCUGAUAAGCGUGAGGUCGGUGGUUCAAGUCCAUUUAGGCCCACCAAUCUAAUAUAUAUGGCACCUUCUUAAAAAAAAGUUCUUUGAAAAGUAGAUAAAUAAGGCAACGAAUCAAAAAGCGAAGGAAAUAAGGGCGUACAGUGGAUGCCUUGGCACUAAGAGCCGAUGAAGGAC